AAUCGAUCACGCUAUCAUGCAGUCGACGCUUUGUGGUUCACUGAUUUGAAGAGCUUGCUCAGAUAUGACGAUGGACAUUGCAAAGAGUGGCGAACGGGUGAGUAACACGUGGGAAACCUACCUCUUAGCAGGGGAUAACAUUUGGAAACAGAUGCUAAUACCGUAUAACAAUAGCAACCGCAUGGUUGCUACUUAAAAGAUGGUUCUGCUAUCACUAAGAGAUGGUCCCGCGGUGCAUUAGUUAGUUGGUGAGGUAAUGGCUCACCAAGACGAUGAUGCAUAGCCGAGUUGAGAGACUGAUCGGCCACAAUGGGACUGAGACACGGCCCAUACUCCUACGGGAGGCAGCAGUAGGGAAUCUUCCACAAUGGGCGAAAGCCUGAUGGAGCAACGCCGCGUGUGUGAUGAAGGGUUUCGGCUCGUAAAACACUGUUGUAAGAGAAGAAUGACAUUGAGAGUAACUGUUCAAUGUGUGACGGUAUCUUACCAGAAAGGAACGGCUAAAUACGUGCCAGCAGCCGCGGUAAUACGUAUGUUCCAAGCGUUAUCCGGAUUUAUUGGGCGUAAAGCGAGCGCAGACGGUUAUUUAAGUCUGAAGUGAAAGCCCUCAGCUCAACUGAGGAAUUGCUUUGGAAACUGGAUGACUUGAGUGCAGUAGAGGAAAGUGGAACUCCAUGUGUAGCGGUGAAAUGCGUAGAUAUAUGGAAGAACACCAGUGGCGAAGGCGGCUUUCUGGACUGUAACUGACGUUGAGGCUCGAAAGUGUGGGUAGCAAACAGGAUUAGAUACCCUGGUAGUCCACACCGUAAACGAUGAGUGCUAGGUGUUUGAGGGUUUCCGCCCUUAAGUGCCGCAGCUAACGCAUUAAGCACUCCGCCUGGGGAGUACGACCGCAAGGUUGAAACUCAAAGGAAUUGACGGGACCCGCACAAGCGGUGGAGCAUGUGGUUUAAUUCGAAGCAACGCGAAGAACCCUUACCAGGUCUUGACAUCCCUUUGACACUCAGAGAUGGAGCGUUUCCCUUUCGGGGACAAGGUGACAGUGGGUGCAUGGUUGUCG
rnacentral:rRNA from 1 species